UUUAAGCCAAUCUACUUACUUAAUGUUUUAAAAGAUACAUAUCCUAUAUCACUCCUGGAUACUUAUUAGAGCAUAUCUAAUAUUCUAUAUUCAUUUGCACUUCAGGGUUUGGUGGUAACCCCAUUAUUUUCAGUUUGAGUGGUAUCUCUAUCCAUACUAUCUACUCCAUAUCUGUGAGAUUUUUAAUCCCACCAAUACUUUUACAU